GAUGAACGCUGACAGAAUGCUUAACACAUGCAAGUCUACUUGAAUUUGGGUUUUUUAACUUCGAUUUGGGUGGCGGACGGGUGAGUAACGCGUAAAGAACUUGCCUCACAGCUAGGGACAACAUUUGGAAACGAAUGCUAAUACCUGAUAUUAUGAUUAUAAGGCAUCUUAGAAUUAUGAAAGCUAUAUGCGCUGUGAGAGAGCUUUGCGUCCCAUUAGCUAGUUGGAGAGGUAACGGCUCACCAAGGCGAUGAUGGGUAGCCGGCCUGAGAGGGUGAACGGCCACAAGGGGACGGAGACACGGCCCUUACUCCUACGGGAGGCAGCAGUGGGGAAUAUUGGACAAUGGACCAAGAGUCUGAUCCAGCAAUUCUGUGUGCACGAUGACGUUUUUCGGAAUGUAAAGUGCUUUCAGUUGGGAAGAAAAAAAUGACGGUACCAACAGAAGAAGUGACGGCUAAAUACGUG
rnacentral:rRNA from 1 species